CUCGUCCACAUAGUCUGGUAGGAUUAAUCGCUGGAUUGUUGGAGGUUGGCCUUGGAUGUUAGCCACUAGCUCUUCACGGGUAUUUGCUGGAGUUGGUGCCUGGCCUGGAUGACAGUCGUCGUUAGCUGAGUUUGUUGGAGUUGCGGCUGCUGUAGCUGCGGUUGCAACUGCGGAUUCACUGACUCCUGAGUUGGCGUAGUUAGCUGCUGUUGUUGCUGCGUUGAUGGUGCCUGUUGCAUCUGCAUUGGCAGAGCUUGCUGUGUUUGAUGAUCCUGCUGCCUCUCGUCCACAUAGUCUGGUAGGAUUAAUCGCUGGAUUGUUGGGGGUUGGCCUUGAAUAUCUGCCACUACCUCUUCACGGGAGGCGGCCGAUUAGGUUGCUGGAUCUGUUGCCUUGCCUGGAUUUCGGCCAAUCUCUCAUUUUCUCGCCUCUCUAGCUCUUCUUCUUGAAGCCGGAGGAGUGUUGGAAGCUGCUCUCUAAAUUGCAUCCUUUGUUGUGCUUGUUGUGCUUGGUGAGCAGUGUGCUGUGUGUGCGGUGGCUGUGCUUGGCGCUGUUGCGGUCCAUGAUGAUUCUGAAGCGGUCGUAUGUGUUGUUGUAAUUGCUGCAUGUAGCGGGGCCUCAGUAGGCGCUGUGGCUCAAAUGGGUGCUCUAGCAGGUUUCGUGCCUCAGGGUUUGCAUGUCUGACCAACGAGUUUGCAAAGCGGUCACUUGCCAAGUGAAAGACUUCGUCAACAGUUUUAAGGCAUCGCUGAAUUCGUUGUAACUGUGUGUCCGAUGUGAGCGCCCCCCAGACAGGGAGACCGUAUUGCCAGAUUGGUAUGAUGAGCUGCUUGAUGAGUACCGCUUUGCAGUCCUUUGCCAGUCUGCUGUUGGGACCAAGGAGCCACAUCAGUUUGGAUGCUCUUGCUCUCAGCUUGUUACUUAGUGGCGAAGGUAUUCCUCGUUCUGUCCGACAGCCCCCGAGGGAAGCGCAGAGGCACACAUGAUCACUGUAUCGUCGGCGUAUGUUGAUAACAGCAUUUGAUUUUGGCUGGGCGCAAAGUAUGUGCGUCUCAUGAGCGAUGGGAGGGGCAUAUCCGACGAGUAAAUUGUGUACAGAAUUGGGCCCAGCACACUGCCCUGGGGCACGCCGGCAGCAACUCGACCUGUUCUAGAUUUGACACCGUCGUUGCAGUUUACUACGAAGGUGCGCUCGCAUAGCAGGCCGUCAUGCCACACGCGGUCAAAGGCUUCCGAGAUAUCUAUAUAGACCGCUGAGCAGAAAUGUCGCUCUUCGUAUGCGCGUAAUAUAAAUUGCGUAACGCGGGCCAGUUGCUGCUCAGUGCCGUGUUCUCGCCUGAAGCCAAAUUGAUGGCUUGGCAUUGCCCUGGCAAAAUCCUGGACUUCGAAGAGCCUUGACAUUAAGAGCUUCUCGAAGAUCUUUGAUAGGCCCGAUAAGAGGCUGAUUGGACGAUAUGAUGUUGCUUCAGCUGUGCUUUUACCAGGCUUGGGAAUCAUAGUUAUGCCAGCGUGUUUCCAUUUGCUUGGGAAAUGCCCUAACCUUAGGCUAGAGUUGUAGAUUAGCAGCGACUUCGUUACCACUAGUGCAUCAAUUUCUAGCUUUAGUUCAUUGAGCGUGAUUGGCCUAAUAGUCUGCUGUAGCUCCUGGUCUGUUUGUUGCUGCUGGAGUUUCUGCUGCUUCAGUUGUCUCCAUUCCUGACGAAUUUCUGCACGCUCCUCAGACGAAUUAGAGAAAUUUGGACUGAAUCUUUCUUCAAGGUGGGCGACGAAAGCCUCCGCUUUUUCGGCAGUAGUUUUCGUCCAUAUUACGUUUGGAUUUGUCGCACGCCUCGCGCCCCCAUUGCCAACAUUAGCCUGUAUUGUUUUUAUUGGCCAAUUGGGCUGCGGCUGUUUUUUAAGCUUGUUGCUGGAUUAGUGCCUUCUUCAACUUAUUUUGUGCAGACCUAUAUUGUUGCCUUGCCUCUGGAGUUCGUGUCGCCAUUAAAAUCUGCUUGCAUCUCUGUUUCUCCGAUAAUAGUCUUCUGGUUGGCUCGUCCAGUUCAAGAUCGUGCCUGCGGUGGGCCCGGUGGCUAAGCUGGUUUCCUAUCUGCCUGUGUGCUGCUGCAUCUGCCGCUAUUUGAACGUUGCGUACGAAGAUGUUCACUGCAUCGUCGAUGUCCAGGCCACUGCGGAUCUCGGUGUUUAAGUGGAUUUGCUGGUCAAGAAGCUCCUGAAAACGAUGCGUAUUGGCUCCAUUAGGGGCAGGUGGUCCGAGUCCAGGUCCGUAGAGGAGUGGAUUCGAAGUCGAUUGCUAUCUAGCCCACCGUAGACUGCGAGGUCAAUUGCUGAUGGUCUUUUCCUCCUAUCGUACGGGUAGUGCGUUGCUCCGCCGGUGGCCAGAACAUUAUAUCGACUUUGCGUGUGAAUUGCUUCGAAGAGCGCUUUGCCUCUGUGACAGGCGCGCGGGUUUCCCCACCAUGAGUGCUGGGCAUUCCAGUCACCGCAGAGGAGAAAGUUAGAUGAAGCCAGUUCUGUGAUUUUGUCAAAAUGUCUGAACAGUUUUGUGAAGUGUUCGACUGACCAUUUGAACACUGGGGGGCAGUAUAUUGGCGCAAUUAUAAUUAUUUCCCUUUUAUUCUCAUUUUCAGGAAGUAAGGCAACAGGCAUAAUCUGGAGGAAGUUCUCGGACAUUGGAUGAAGGGCGGCAUGUCUAAUGUCGUUUCGUACAAAGAUAGCGACUCCACCUCUCCGAUACGUGUGUGGAUUGGUUGUACUGUAUGUGUGGUAGCCGUCCAUGCUUAGUAUGCUGGCGUCAGAUGGAACCCGAGUUUCGAUGACCAUCAUAAUUUGGAUGGACUCGCGUCGCAUGUACAGCUCUAGCUCUGUCAUUUUGUUGCCUAUACCACAUGCAUUCCAGAAAGCAAUUUUAAGUGGGUUGCUAUUCUGGCCGCUCCUGUGGAUGGUCACAUGUGGAUUUGCUGUACUAAUUGGCGCACUGUUGUGGACAUUUUCAGCUGAGGAAGUAGUGGCUAUGGUCAAUUGAGAGUCGGUACUGCUGUGAGUACGACUAUACAUAUUUAGUGACGUCAUUGGCGAUGGCAGCUUCCCUAGAGCAGUCCAUUUGGGCUGCUUUGCUGUCUGUUUGUUGAUGGGCUAUGUUUGGGAACACAUGAUUAUUGGUGUUUGUUGUAUUGUUUUCAUUAUGGAUGGUAAUGAAUUGCACAAGGACAUUUAAUAGAGUGUCUAUUCUUUUUUCCAUGCGACUAAACAUUGCCAUGUUUUGUUCUAAUGUCUGGAGUAUAGUGCUUUUGGACAUUGAUGA